CAGUAGCCGCGGGAAUACGUAGGUGGCAAGCGUUGUCCGGAAUUAUUGGGCGUAAAGGGCUCGCAGGCGGUUUCUUAAGUCUGAUGUGAAAGCCCCCGGCUCAACCGGGGAGGGUCACUGGAAACUGGGAAACCUGAGUGCAGAAGAGGAGAGUGGAAUUCCACGUGUAGCGGUGAAAUGCGUAGAGAUGUGGAGGAACACCAGUGGCGAAGGCGACUCUCUGGUCUGUAACUGACGCUGAGGAGCGAAAGCGUGGGGAGCGAACAGGAUUAGAGACCCCUGUAGUCCCUGUCUCUUAUAC
rnacentral:rRNA from 1 species